rnacentral:rRNA from 1 species
UACGUAGGGGGCAAGCGUUGUCCGGAUUUAUUGGGCGUAAAGAGCGUGUAGGCGGCCAUGCAGGUCAGCUGUGAAAACUCGAGGCUCAACCUCGAGACGUCGGUUGAAACCGUAUGGCUAGAGUCCGGAAGAGGAGAGUGGAAUUCCCGGUGUAGCGGUGAAAUGCGCAGAUAUCAGGAGGAACACCUAUUGCGAAGGCAGCUCGCUGGGACGUAACUGACGCUGAGACGCGAAAGCGUGGGGAGCAAACAGG